rnacentral:rRNA from 1 species
UACGUAGGAUCCAAGCGUUGUCCGGAUUUACUGGGUGUAAAGGGUGCGCAGGCGGACUUGUUAGUCAGAGGUGAAAUCUCACUGCUCAACAGUGAAACUGCCUUUGAUACUGCAGGUCUUGAAUCCAGAAGAGAGUUGUGGAAUUCCGAGUGUAGCAGUGAAAUGUGUAGAUAUUCGGAAGAACACCAGCGGCGAAGGCAGCAACUUGGUCUGGUAUUGACGCUCAGGCACGAAAGCAUGGGGAUCAA